rnacentral:tRNA from 1 species
CAGGGGAAGAGGGAUUGAAGGACGCCUGAACAGAACCCAAAAAGGAAAAAAUGCCACGUAGAGGAGGGAGGGGAGAACGUAACUCCCAUUGCCUAAAACCCGCCUCUGGCCACAGGCACGGACGGGGUUCGAACCCGCGAUCUUCGGUUUACGAGACCGACGCCUUACCACUUGGCCACCGCGCCUGACAGCCGAGCGAGUGGCGGAAGCUCUCAGUGGAGGGGGACGUGGCGCAGGCGCAGGCGCAGGCGCGGGGCGGCGGGCGGACACUCUCCGACACGCCGUCUCCUGGGCCGGCGCCAUGGGAGCCGAAAGCUGGGGAGAAGCCCUGCGCCCCAUGGGCGCCAAACCCGUGCUCCGGGCCGCGGGGGGCGCAAGUUGGGGGUCUGAGAGGCAAAACCCUCUCCUAGCACCCCGCCCGGGCCUCGGGCAGGGUGAACGCUGCCCACGUCCCCUGAGACGCGGGAACCUCGCCCCAAGCGCCGCUGCGGGCUCCCGCGGAGGGUCGCGAUAGGGCGAAGCGGGGGAAGGGCGCCGAGCCACGAGGCUGAGGGCCAGGGCUGGUGAGAAGCUCGAAGAUGCGCCGAAGCGGGCUGACGCAGGCGGAGCACCGGCCGGGAGAGUUCUGCUGUGACCCUGAAACUCUGACACAGUAAGAAAGAGAUGAACUAGCAAGUCAUGAAAACACACAGAAGAACCUUAAGUCUGUAUCAUGAAGUGAAAGGAACUUCGAGGCUCGUGUGUUGGAAGCUUUAGACCCAUGUGGGCUUUCAGGAGAGGGGCCUAGGAGCUGCCGCCCACAGUGGGUUAGUGCUGCUGUCCUGGAGCAGGGUCCUUGCCAGGUGAUCCAUUUAGCUCCCACUCGCCUUCUCUGCUCAUCUACCACGAGAUGCCAUAGAGCAGCAAGAAGGCCCUUGCCAGAUGCCAACCCUUCUAGCUGCUUCCUAGCCACUAGAAGUACAAGACUGUAAACUUCUGUGUAUCAUAAAUUCCUUCGUCUGAUACCUGUAAUCCCUUGGGAGGCUGAGGCAGGCAGAUCGACACAAGUUUGAGGCCAGCCUGGACUACAUAGUGAAUUCAAGGCCAGCCCAAAUGACAUAGUGAGAUCUUGUCUCAAAAAAAUAAAAUAAAUUAUGGCAGCGUGACACAGACUAAGACAGAUGCCAAUCUGAAAAGGUUACAGACUACAUAAUUCUGUGAUGUUCUGGAAAAGGCAAAACUAUGGAGACAAUCGAAAGAUCAGUGGUUUCCAGGAGUUGAGCAGAGGGCAGGAUGAACUGUAGAGCAGAGACAAUUUUUAGGAAGGUGAAACUAUUCUGGCUGCUGCUGUCAUGGAAGAUACACGUUGUUACACGUGUGUGGAAAUCCAUGGGACACGCGUCACUGGCAGGGGGCCCUUAGGGUAACAAGGUGCUAGUGUAGGUUCAGCAGUGGUAACGAAUGUACCCUGGUGGGUCAGGAUGGGGAGGGAUGGGGCACGGACAUAUGGGAACUGCUUUCUGCUCAGUUUUGCUGUGAACAUGAAAUUACUCUAAAAAAUAAAGUUUACUUAAAAAAAAAAAGCUAAAUACUAGUAAUUCUUGAAUCCUCUCUCAGGCCCCUGCUGUGAGUCACCAUCAAUCCCAGGCCACACUGUGGUUGCUCCUUGGAGGGGUCACAUGGUAUAAUAGGGCCAGGCAAGUUGGAACUCUAGGGAUUCACCACACUGAAUUAAAUGGAAUCCUUUAUUACAAGCCAGGUGAUCCAGAGCGGGCUCAUGCCUCCAAAAACUGGACAAAGGAAAGGCAGUUUGCAGGAUCCUUUUAAGGGUUCUUUUUGGGGAGGGCUCGGAUUGGGGGAGCACAAGCGGAGUUUCGCAGGGGCAGAACUUUGCUAAGCUAGUGGGCGUCGGGGAAGUUUCACACAGUUUAGUUAAAACAAAG